rnacentral:rRNA from 1 species
UACGUAGGGUGCAAGCGUUGUCCGGAAUUAUUGGGCGUAAAGAGCUCGUAGGCGGUCUGUCGCGUCGGCUGUGAAAACCCGGAGCUCAACUCCGGGCCUGCAGUCGAUACGGGCAGACUGGAGUUCGGCAGGGGAGACUGGAAUUCCUGGUGUAGCGGUGAAAUGCGCAGAUAUCAUGAGGAACACCGGUGGCGAAGGCGGGUCUCUGGGCCGAUACUGACGCUGAGGAGCGAAAGCGUGGGGAGCGAACAGG